UACGUAGGGUCCGAGCGUUGUCCGGAAUUACUGGGCGUAAAGAGCUCGUAGGUGGUUUGUCGCGUUGUUCGUGAAAACUCACAGCUCAACUGUGGGCGUGCGGGCGAUACGGGCAGACUUGAGUACUGCAGGGGAGACUGGAAUUCCUGGUGUAGCGGUGGAAUGCGCAGAUAUCAGGAGGAACACCGGUGGCGAAGGCGGGUCUCUGGGCAGUAACUGACGCUGAGGAGCGAAAGCGUGGGGAGCAAACGGG
rnacentral:rRNA from 1 species